rnacentral:rRNA from 1 species
CCUACGGGAGGCAGCAGUGAGGAAUAUUGGUCAAUGGACGAGAGUCUGAACCAGCCAAGUAGCGUGAAGGAUGACUGCCCUAUGGGUUGUAAACUUCUUUUAUAUGGGAAUAAAAUGUUCCACGUGUGGGAUUUUGUAUGUACCAUAUGAAUAAGGAUCGGCUAACUCCGUGCCAGCAGCCGCGGUAAUACGGAGGAUCCGAGCGUUAUCCGGAUUUAUUGGGGUUAAAGGGGGCGUAGGUGGAUUGGUAAGUCAGUUGUGAAAGUUUGGGGGUCAACCUGAAAAUUGCAGUUGAAACUGGCAGUCUUGAGUACAGUAGAGGUGGGCGGAAUUCGUGGUGUAGCGGUGAAAUGCUUAGAUAUCACGAAGAACUCCGAUUGCGAAGGCAGUUCACUGGACUGCAACUGACACUGAGGCUCGAAAGUGUGGGUAUCAAACAGGAUUAGAUACCCCGGUAGUC